rnacentral:rRNA from 1 species
CCUACGGGAGGCUGCAGUAGGGAAUAUUGCUCAAUGAGGGAAACCCUGAAGCAGCAACGCCGCGUGGAGGAUGAAGGUUUUCGGAUUGUAAACUCCUUUUGUUAGAGAAGAUAAUGACGGUAUCUAACGAAUAAGCACCGGCUAACUCCGUGCCAGCAGCCGCGGUAAUACGAUGGGUGCAAGCGUUACUCGGAAUCACUGGGCGUAAAGAGAGCGUAGGCGGGAUAGCAAGUCAGAUGUGAAAUCCUAUGGCUUAACCAUAGAACUGCAUUUGAAACUGUUAUUCUAGAGUAUGUGAGAGGUAGGUGGAAUUCUUGGUGUAGGGGUAAAAUCCGUAGAGAUCAAGAGGAAUACUCAUGGCGAAGGCGACCUGCUAGAACAUAACUGACGCUGAUGCGCGAAAGCGUGGGGAGCAAACAGGAUUAGAUACCCCAGUAGUC